UACGAAGGGGGCUAGCGUUGCUCGGAAUCACUGGGCGUAAAGGGUGCGUAGGCGGGUCUUUAAGUCAGGGGUGAAAUCCUGGAGCUCAACUCCAGAACUGCCUUUGAUACUGAGGAUCUUGAGUUCGGGAGAGGUGAGUGGAACUGCGAGUGUAGAGGUGAAAUUCGUAGAUAUUCGCAAGAACACCAGUGGCGAAGGCGGCUCACUGGCCCGAUACUGACGCUGAGGCACGAAAGCAUGGGGAGCAAACGGG
rnacentral:rRNA from 1 species